UUUCAGUGGCUUUGAAACAAAUGUCCAACCACAUUUCUUGAUUUUCCUGCACAGAUGCCAGAAAGCCAUUGGAAAAGAAAUUGAACCCGUCAGUAUGAAAGUGAUUCAUUUGUAUUCACUGCCUCCCUGAGUUUGUGGACUUUGCAGUAAGCACCAAGGAAGGAGCACCAUGGAGGAAGAUAGAGAAGAACAGAGAAAUGCGAAUCCAUGCAUUGUGACAUGCCUUGAGAGACAUGGUGGAGAAGGAAAGGUGUUUUUCAUGCAUCUCAGAGAAUUCCGUGCCUCAGAUUUUGUAGGUAAGUCAUAUUUCACCAAAUGAAAUUUCCUUGAUAAUUCAUGGUCAAUUGUGUGGACAUAAUUUUCAUUUGUGUGACAACUGUGGGAGGUUCACAUUCCGGGAACCAGAGUUGGGGGUGGUGAGGAAGGGGUAGAAGUGGGAAUCUGGGAAUAGAGUUUGAUUUGGUGUUGUAGCCAUCCUGACACUUUCCACCCCUGAGCACUUAUUUUAUUUUAAAUCUCAAUGUCUCAUUCCAUUAGUAUUUUGAUUUUUUUAAAAGGUACAGACUCCUUAACCUAUUCUCCAUUUCAACGGUGUUCUCUUUGAGAACACAGAGCCAGCAAAUUACUUAAAACAGCAAAGUGUCAUGAUUCAAUAGUCAUAACUUUUCUUCCUAUUAAUAAUGGUUUCCCCCUGAAUCAUAUCUGCAUGUCAAUCACAUCAAUAGAUUAGAAAAAUGAUGUUUGGCAAUGUUACAGAACACAGACAUCUUGGAACCUGGUUAUUUUCUAUUUUUUAAACCUUUAAUACUGAGCUAAAAUCUAUAAUAAAUCUAAAAAAUAAUCAAUAAGAAUAUAUUACAUUCUUUUAAAAAUUUAGUGUAAAUCUUUUGGUCUUU
rnacentral:lncRNA from 1 species